CAGCCGCUCGUCUACAGUAUCGGAAGACGCACCGACAGCGUCGAGGUUGUUUUCACCUGAGACUUAACCAUCACCGCGACGAUUUCGUUCAGUAUAAUUCCUCGUUUUCACCUUCUGGACAACGUCUGUGAUAGUGACGACUUAAAGAUCCAACGCAAGACUUACGAAUCCAUACACAAUUUUAGUUGGUCAAACUCUCCUAAUGAGGCUGUAGUUGUCAUGUUAAUCCUCUCUAGAAUGAACCUUUCAUGUUGUAUAAAUUCUAACAGCGGAUCCGCAACUAGGGAGCAGUAUACGAGACAAUUGAUAUCGGGGGGAACAAGAAAAAGAGACUGAGCAAUCAUUCGCCUGGCGGCUUGGAAACUUCGAUUAAAGGAUGUAGCAAGACAGAGCUAACAGGGGAAGACUUCAACGUUUAGAGCUAAACACGAAACUUGUCGGUGCAUAGAAUGCCUUCGUAGGCCUGUGAGUAUGAUGCUUCUCGUUUCUCCACAAAAAAAUUAUUGAACGGAUAUCAUCCGACUAAUUCUUAGUUGCAAGUUUAAUUUCUAUAUUAAAUACAAACACGAAAAAUCUCAACGUAUUGUAUAGCAGCUGGCUGAGGAAGACUUUUGACAGCGUCGUUUUGUAGGGACUCGGACAACUAAUUUCUUCUAGUUCAUCAUUCGGAAUGCUCGCCUUGAGGAGCAAAUGUAUUGGAAUUUUUCUUGUAUUUGGUUAACCUCUAUUCAUUCUUGCUAUUCCAACUUUAAACCUCGGCUCUUCAGUAAAAAGCACGACUGACCAUUUCAAGACUCUAAGAUUAGAGUGGUUUACUACAUCAGCUGCCAACGACAGACUACACCAUCCAUAGCAACUAUUUUGUCUUCUUCAACGACAGUAACGUGUCAGAGUUAUUGAGAGUGAAUGCUCUAGGUAAGCGAAAGUGAACUGGAAUACCAAUUCGUAAAUCCAGAUGUUACCAAAACUUUGAUGUUCAAGAAGAAUUCUGUAGAUGAGCUGGAAUGUGGUCCUUCGGAGUAGUUCUCCACAAGCUCUCAUGGACCUUCACUUAUAACAUCUUUAUUUGGGUAGCAGUUGGGAGAAAUUUUUGACACGUCAGGUUAUCCCUACUAUCAUACGGUGAUGGCUUAUAAUUGGGGUGCACUUUUACCCUCUUUUGUCUCCCUCUGGGAUAAAGAUGGGUAAUUAUUCCAUCAGCGCUCCGUAAUGGCUGGAGUUUAAAAGGAAAGAAAGCAGCUUUGAAGUGUUGCCUAUUCCGAAAAGACUUGCGUAUUGGGUCGAGUAAGAUUAUUGCAGUUGGAGAGGGAGUAGCUCAGAAUGAGCAGCCAGGACUGAGAACCAGUGAGAGUGGUGUCCUCAAAUGUUCCUCUGACAUGAAGAAAAAGGUGUAGAGAUCCAUAUUCAUGAUGAAGUGGUAGUAGCGCCACAGGACGCUCAUAACUGUGAACAAGAGCCUCGCAAAAAGUUUAAGCGGUGCAGUAUUCUUCAGUGGACACUGUUGCCAGCCCCGUCGAACAUCUUUUAUGAGAUGCACAUCUGAUGCCAAAUUGUGGUUCGCGUGCAGACGCUGGCCAUCAAACUCAUCCUUUUGACUUUAUCUUAAUGAAAAAAUAGCUGCGUUUCGGCCAAGUUCAAUGGUCAGGGCAGGAUGAUCACUAAUUAUUUGUACCGUGAGACAAGGUUUUUUAUUUUUUUGAAGUACAAGAGAAUGUUCUUUCAAGAAAUUGUUUUUGGAUGAAU